rnacentral:rRNA from 1 species
CCUACGGGGGGCUGCAGUGGGGAAUCUUCCGCAAUGGACGAAAGUCUGACGGAGCAACGCCGCGUGAGUGAUGACGGCCUUCGGGUUGUAAAGCUCUGUUAAUCGGGACGAAAGGCCUUCUUGUGAAUAGUGAGAAGGAUUGACGGUACCGGAAUAGAAAGCCACGGCUAACUACGUGCCAGCAGCCGCGGUAAUACGUAGGUGGCAAGCGUUGUCCGGAAUUAUUGGGCGUAAAGCGCGCGCAGGCGGAUAGGUCAGUCUGUCUUAAAAGUUCGGGGCUUAACCCCGUGAUGGGAUGGAAACUGCCAAUCUAGAGUAUCGGAGAGGAAAGUGGAAUUCCUAGUGUAGCGGUGAAAUGCGUAGAUAUUAGGAAGAACACCAGUGGCGAAGGCGACUUUCUGGACGAAAACUGACGCUGAGGCGCGAAAGCCAGGGGAGCGAACGGGAUUAGAUACCCCAGUAGUC